CACAGGCUGCUGUCAGUCAAAGCUUAAUGUUUAUUAGUUGAAUGUGCCCUCAAAAUGCUUCAAACUUAGCCCUUGGAGAACAAAAGUUUGCAGUGAAUCACAGACCAACACUCUACCACCACGUUGGGUUUGGACUGCGAGGGACCACCGCUGACGACCAUCUGCACCCAUCACAUCGUCCAUAAUAACAAACAGGGAUCUACGUGAAGGAGUGUGAGCUGGAGGGGCAGCUGUCACCUGUGUGGGUGAAACAUAAGUGGGAGAACCAUAAGCAAAAAUACAUGGAGUUGAAAGCUCCACCCACCGGAGUCAGCACGGAGGGAGGGGAGGCCACAGCCGCAUCCUGGAAGUGGUAUGUGGUGAUGGAUGAAGUGCUGGGGGGGCUGCUAUCCAUCACCACACCAGUCAUCCUCCAUAGGUGCAGCUGUGGGCUCCUGUCCUUCCCAGAAGGAUCCAGAUGUGGAUGCUGGAGAAGGAGCGGGAGAAGGUGGUGACUGCCAGGGAGGCACGCCUUAUGGCCAGUUUAGAGGCCAUGAUUAGGAAGUAGUUUUAUGUAUUUUGUAUGUAUUUUAUUUAUAGCUUUUAAUUGACUCAUUUUAUGUUUUUGGUGAAGUCCUUUUUUUAAACCCAAAGU